rnacentral:misc_RNA from 1 species
GGAGUAAAAGUCGUAACAAGGUUUCCGUAGGUGAACCUGCGGAAGGAUCAUUACUGAGUGAGGGCCCCUCGGGGUCCAACCUCCCACCCGUGUUUAACGAACCUUGUUGCUUCGGCGGGCCCGCCUCACGGCCGCCGGGGGGCAUUUGCCCCCGGGCCCGCGCCCGCCGAAGCCACCUGUGAACGCUGUCUGAAGUAUGCAGUCUGAGACAAUUAUUAAAUUAAUUAAAACUUUCAACAACGGAUCUCUUGGUUCCG